UAAAUUUUUUCAAAAGGAGUGAGAUAAAAAUGCAGAAAAACUGUGGAUAGAAAUUUCCUUAUGUUUGAUCUGGCCUGGCUUACUGUGGAGUUGGUUUUUUUUUUUUUUUUUGUUUUUUCCUUCCUGCUUGGGAGAGAUGAAAAAUUGUGCCCCUUAAUUUUCCAGUUUUCUUUUUCCCAAUGUUUGUCCAUAAUUAUAGCUACAGAUUUCUGCUUGAGGACACAUGCAGAUGUUUUGUUUCAUUUUCUUCAUAAUAAACUGGUCUGUUGGCCUAGAAUAAAAGGUGCCUUAUAACAAAGUUGAGGAGGUAAUGCAUUCUGCACCCUUUUUUUGAUCCCUUUUUUGAGGGAUCCAGGUUGCUUGAAAGUUUAUGUAACACAAACAACCUCGUGAGAAGCCUGUAUCUUCAGUGGAUAAUACCUGCUUUUUCUCUAAGUUUUCUUGUUAUUUAUGUUAAAAGUUUGGCAGUAGAUGGCUUGGACUUAGAGGAUAAUACAUGCAGAAGAAGUCCUCUAUACUCUGCCCUUGUGAGGCCCCAUCUGGAGUACUGUGUCAAGAUCUGAGGCCACCAAUACAGGAAAGAUGUGGAGCUGUUGGAGAGGGUCCAGAGGAAGGACAUGAAGAUGAUCAGAGGGCUGGAGCAUCUCCCUAUGAAGACAGGCUGAGGGAGCUGGGUUUUUUUCAGCCAGGAGAAGAGAAGGCUGUAAGGGGAUGUCAUUGCCCUUUCCAGUAUUUGAAAGGGGAUUAUAAACAGACAAGGAAUCAACAUUUUACUGAAUGGUUUUAAGGUAAAAAAGGGAAGGUUUAGAUUGGAUAUUAUGGAGAAGUUCUUUACUGAGAGAUCAGUGAGGUGCUGGAACAGGCUGCCCAAAGAGGUUGCGGAUGCUCUGUUCCUGGAGGUGCUCAAGACCAGAUUGGAUGGGGCCCUGGGCAGCCUGGUCUAAUACCAGAUCUGCAGAUUGGUGGCCCUGCCUUUGUUAGGAGGGUUGGAACUUGAUGAUCCUUGGAGUCCCUUCCAACCCAAGUCAUUCUAUGUUUCUGUGAUUCUAUGAAGUAAUAGAUUUUUACAUACUCAGAUCUGUGAUUUGGACCUUUAGAAUCUAGACAAUUUCUUAAUUGUUAAAAGAAUAUGAACUUUGCAAAGACAAGUUGAAAAAGAAAGUUUGCUAUUUAAAACUUCAGCAUGUGGUAUUUUGUAUGAAAUAUCACCAGUGAUAUUUUUGUGUAGUCUUGCUGAUUGUUGGGAUAAUGGAUAAAAAGGCCAAAAAUUCAGCAUAGUGCUUUAAUAAGCUUGAAAUCAUUUGCUUCAUAGAGGGAUUGUGGUAAAUAUACUUCUUAACUUACGAAGUGUUAGUAGAACAGUGGGACAUGUGCUGAGACUAAAGACUUGUAUUAAUUAGGUAGCAUAUGCCUUGGCAGUAGAGAUUGUUGAGGUAAAUAUCACUGGAGCCCAGAGACAAAAGUCUGUAAAACUUCAGCAACUCUGUGACUCUUCCAGAAUCUGCAUAUGUCAGAAAAUGAUAAUAUUUACCAGGUAUUCAAUCCAGUAAGCAAUCACAGCAGUAGUGACUCAGUCACUGCCUUACAGUGUUGUAUGGCUGGAUACCCAAGUAGGUCAGCAUUGCAUGUCUAGCAUGCUCUGCAGGUUCCUUCUGCAGAUAAAAGCUGGGAUUUCCCAGCAUCUCUAGCAACUCCCUGUUCUACUGGCUACAUUAUGAACCUUUAACACCAGAGUCCCUGUGAGUCUUCUGGUGAUCUGUGUGCAGCUUCAGAUCUGCAUAUUAGGAGCCUCAGUACUGCAGGAAUCCAGAAAUGAUUGUAAAUGCAAGUUAGGAAGCGUAGAAUUAGUUUCUCCUUCGUGUUCAGAAGGAAACACUUAAAUGUUACCAAAAAGGUAGUGUAAUUGAGCUUAAGUUAAAUAAGACAAAAGCCAUAGACACUUUCAAAAGUGAUCCUAGUAAGUGCUUCUUCUUGCUAGCUUACUCAAGUUGUGCAGUCUUACUUCCUUUCCAUAUCUCUAAGGCAGGAACUCAGUGGAAAAUUCCAGCUGCAUAAAAGAAUGAAUGUUUUUAUUUGGUGGGCUGAACCUGCUGAAAUGGGUACUGACUCAAAUACACAGCACUGAUACGCAGGAAGGGGGCAAAAGUAGAUGAAUGGGUAGAACAGGAGGAUGGUAUUGCAGCUGAUUUGAUUUAGACAGGCUCAGAAUAUGUCUCCUAAGAACCAAAUUCUAAGCUAGUGUAAUGAUAAUUCUACUGUUCACUGGAGUGGUUUCUUUCAGCCUUGGUCGUGCUGCUCGUCUUUGGGCUUCCUUUCACGCCUUGCAUGAACUCAUCUAACACAAAAAAAAAGGUUGACCUAAUACUCUACUCUUUUUUAGGAUCUGGCAUUUGUGGAAGUUGAAUGGACUAGUGCAGUCAAACACUAUCAACUCUGCUCAACUGAUUAACAGGUUUCUGCUGGAAUAGCUCUGUGCAUUUUGUAGUAACAGAAUUGCUACCUCUAAUGCUCAGAGCAGAGAACAAGUCUCUUCUUUUAGCCAAUGUCUCAUAUUUAGGUGAAUAUAAGUAAACAUUCAAAGCGUGCUUUAAAGCACAAAUUCUCUUAUGGGCAGGAUAUUUGAUAGCAUCAAUUUAAUUUUGUUUUGUUUUUGUUUGGUGUGUUCCUUUGAAGCAUUUGCUGUUUGCUGCUGUAAGGAAAACACUAAGUUAUUAAAUUAGAUUGCUUGUACUCUAGUCUAGUUUAGCAGUUCCUGUAUUAAUUUGAAAAAAGUAGUAGUAGGCAAUUUAUCAAAUUUAGUGUGACAUUUUCAGACACACAUCUUAAAUCCUGUUAAAAUGUGUAAUUUUGAAAUUCAUAUUUGUUUGCUAGCGUAGUGGUACCCACAGUCUUGGGGAAUUCAGAUCUAGAAGGACCAAAGCUUGUGAAGAGUAGUAUGUGGUAAAUGUGUUAAAUCCAGCUGGCGCCCAGUCACAAAUGGAGCUCACCGGGGGUCAGUAUUUGGGCCUUCCUGUUUCAUAUUCUUGUUGAUGACCUGUACCCUCAGUAAUUUUGCAGAUGACAGUAAACUGGGAGGAAGAAUUGAUCUGCCUGGGGGUAGGAAUGUCAUCCAGAGGGAUCUGGACACUCUGGAUUGCUGGGCUGAGGUGAUGGUAUCAAAAAUGGUGUUGCUAGUGGGAGCAGGGAAGUGAUCAUCCCCCUGUGCUUAGCUCUGAUGAGGCUGCAUGUUGAGUACUGUAUUCAGUUUGGAGCCUAUCACUGCAAGAAAGACACCAAGGCGAUGGUGUCCAGAGAAGCACAACAAAAUGGGUUAGGGGUCUGGAGAGCAAGUCUUAUGAGGAGUGGCUGAGAGAACUGGGAUUGUUCAGUCUGGAGAAGAAAAGGCUCAGGGGGAAUGCUUAUUGCUCUAACUACCUGAAUGGAGAUUGUGGUGAGGUGGCCUCAAUAGACAAAGAUGAUCGGCCUUUUCUCCUGCAUAACUAGUGGUAGGACUAGAGGGAAUGGCCUCAGGUUGCACCAGGAGAGGUUCCGGUUGCAUAUUAGGAAAAAUUUAUUCUCCAAAAGAGUAGUCGAGCACUGGAAUACCAGUGUCCAGGGAGAUGGUGGAGUCACCAUCCCUGGAGAUACUCAAGAAAUGUUUAGAUGCACUGAGGGACCUAGUUUAGUGGGAAAUACUGGUCUUAGGUGGAUGUUUGAUUUAGAUUUUGGAGGUCUCUUGCAACCUUGGUGAUUCUAUAAGUGAAUUGGAGUGGAGGAAACCUAUAGAGAAUAAGCAUGGAUGUUACUGGGAAAGAGACAAAAUUGAUUCAGUGGUUGUCUUCUCUUUCUGAGUAGAAUGCUCUUUCUCUUGUCACUCGUGGGACUUGGCUGAAAUGUUCUCCACAGACAUACCUUAUCUGAAGAGAAGCAGAUUUUAAGAACUGAUGGCUGAUGAAGUACUGCCUAGCAGUCCCUUGGCACUUGAUAGUCCAGAAGUGUACCUUACUGUAGGAGUGUUUCCUGCACUGUGCAGCAAAUUGCUCUGGGAGUGAUGCAGCAGAGGCAAGUGGCCUUGGCAAGGUGCCUUGUUGAGCACUGCAGAGUUGGCCUGUUUCCUGCUACGAACAACAGCCACAGCAACCAUUACUUCCACUGCAGACUUGAAAAAUUGGUUUGUAACCAGAGGAGGGCCACAAAAAUGAUCCAAGGAAUGAAACACCUCUCCUGUGAGGACAGGCUGAGAGAACUGGGGCUGUUCAGCCUGGAAAAGAGAAGGCUCUGAGCAUGCGCAGGCUGGCAUGCUCAGCUGUCACACCACAGAAUGAAGAGCAUCUUGAUCUGCUUCAUCAUGUGAAUCAAAAUAUUAUGACCAGAGAACUUGUACAGAGCUGAAUACGAGCCUCAGUGCAUUAGAAACAAUGGUGGCAACAUUGGAAUAUUGCAGUUUGUGCCAGGUGGGUCCCACAGAUAUUCAUGUAGGAAAAGAAAAAAAACAGUGUAUGCAAGUUUGUCAGGACCAAUAUGAGGCUAAGGGUGACUGUUUUCCAGAUCACACCAUUACUGGUGAUGAGAUGUGCGGCCACCACUAUGAGCUGGAAUCAAAACUGCAGUCCAUGGAGUGGUGACAUGUGAAUUCCUCAUUGAAUAAAGAAGUUCAAGACGUACUAUGAUGUGCACUGUCGUUUGGGAUGAGAAAGAGGUGAUCUUUCCAGACUUCCUGGAACCUGGACAGACUGUCAACUGUGACCUCGACAUCAUGAUGCUGACUAAGCCGAAGGCUCCAACUUCCAGAGUCAGUCCAGAGAAGAAAACAUGAGAGCUCCAGUGCCCAUACCAUUUUGAAGACUGUAGACACAUUGUGAAUCUUGGCCGGACUGCCCUACCAUACUCAUCACGUAGUCCAGAUUUAGUGCCUUCUGACUUCCAUCUGUUUGGGCUGAUGAAAGAUGGACUGCAUCACCAACAUUUUACUAACAGUGAUGCCUUUGUAGCAGCUGUGAAACAGUAGGUCACCUCCACUAGUGCAUAUUUUUGAAUGUUGCGUGCAGGCUCUUGUUCACGGCUGGGGGAAAUACAUAGAUACUGGCAGUGACUAUGUUGGAAAACAGUAUUUUGAAGCUGAGAAUAUGCUCUGUGAGAUAGUGUUAUUGUGCUUUUACAUCUGCUGUGGUUCCUUGGAAAUAAACAGGAGGCAUUACUUUGAGAGUGA